UGAGAUGGAUUCCUGUUUGUGUGCCUGUG
rnacentral:piRNA from 1 species